rnacentral:rRNA from 1 species
UACGGAGGGGGUUAGCGUUGUUCGGAAUUACUGGGCGUAAAGCGCGCGUAGGCGGAUUAGAAAGUUGGGGGUGAAAUCCCGGGGCUCAACCUCGGAACUGCCUCCAAAACUGAUUCACUAGAGUACGAUAGAGGGAGGUAGAAUUCACAGUGUAGCGGUGGAAUGCGUAGAUAUUGUGAAGAAUACCAAUGGCGAAGGCAGCCUCCUGGAUCUGUACUGACGCUGAGGUGCGAAAGUGUGGGGAGCAAACAGG